GGCGGCGUGCUUAACACAUGCAAGUCGAACGGACUUAAGGGGCUUGCUUCUUAAGUUAGUGGCGCACGGGUGAGUAAUAUAUAGCUAACCUGCCCUUUAGUGGGGGACAACAGUUGGAAACGACUGCUAAUACCCCAUACUCCUUCUUACUAUAAGGUAAGUCGGGAAAGAUUUAUCGCUAAAGGAUGGGGCUUUAUUGUAUCAGCUAGUUGGUGAGGUAAUGGCUCACCAAGGCUAUGACGCAUACCUGGUCUGAGAGGACGACCAGCCACACUGGGACUGAGACACGGCCCAGACUCCUACGGGAGGCAGCAGUGGGGAAUUUUGGACAAUGGGCGAAAGCCUGAUCCAGCCAUGCCGCGUGCAGGAUGAAGGCCUUCGGGUUGUAAACUGCUUUUGUACGGAACGAAAAGACUCCUUCUAAUAAAGGGGGU
rnacentral:rRNA from 1 species